CUAAAGAGCGCAAGGUCCGCAUCUGGAAGGACUACGUGGCACCCACCGCCAAUUUGGACCAGAAGGACAGGCAAUUUGUCGCUAAGGUGAUGCAGGUUGUCAACGCAGAUGCCAUGGUGGUUAAGCUCAACUCUGGAGAAUACAAGACCAUCCACCUGUCCAGCAUUCGGCCCCCCAGAAUCGAGGGAGAGG